GAUGAAGAACGUAGCGAAAUGCGAUAAGUAAUGUGAAUUGCAGAACUCAGUGAAUCAUCGAGUCUUUGAACGCACAUUGCGCCCCCUGGUAUUCCGGGGGGCAUGCCUGUCCGAGCGUCAUUGCUGCCCUCAAGCCCGGCUUGUGUGUUGGGCCCCGUCCUCCGAUUCCGGGGGACGGGCCCGAAAGGCAGCGGCGGCACCGCGUCCGGUCCUCGAGCGUAUGGGGCUUUGUCACCCGCUCUGUAGGCCCGGCCGGCGCUUGCCGAUCAACCCAAAUUUUUAUCCAGGUUGACCUCGGAUCAGGUAGGGAUACCCGCUGAACUUAAGCAUAUCAAUAAGCGGAGGA
rnacentral:misc_RNA from 1 species